UGCGUAGGCGGUUUGGUAAGUUGGAUGUGAAAUCCCAGGGCUCAACCCUGGAACUGCAUUCAAUACUGCCGAACUAGAGUACAGGAGGGGAGAGCGGAAUUCUUAGUGUAGCGGUGAAAUGCGUUGAUAUUAAGAAGAACACCGGUGGCGAAGGCGGCUCUCUGGAAUGUUACUGACGCUGAGGCACGAAAGCUGGGGGAGCAAACAGGAUUAGAUACCCUGGUAGUCC
rnacentral:rRNA from 1 species